rnacentral:rRNA from 1 species
UACAGAGGGGGCAAGCGUUGUUCGGAAUUACUGGGCGUAAAGGGCGCGUAGGCGGCCUGCUAAGUCGAACGUGAAAUCCCUGGGCUCAACCCAGGAACUGCGUCCGAUACUGGUUGGCUUGAAUCCGGGAGAGGGAUGUGGAAUUCCAGGUGUAGCGGUGAAAUGCGUAGAUAUCUGGAGGAACACCGGUGGCGAAGGCGACAUCCUGGACCGGCAUUGACGCUGAGGCGCGAAAGCUAGGGGAGCGAACGGG